AAAAUCAGAUGCAGAGCUAUCCAAAUCACAGCACGCGCCGAUUUCCAUCUGUGCAUCACUCUGAAAUCCAUCACCUUUCUAAUUCUUUAACUCGAUACAAUACACAAUUAAUUUCAAAGGAGAUGUCGUGAUUGUCCUGAUUGUACAAGCCAUUGUUAGGGGCUCGAUUUCUUAUUGGAGGGAAGUUACUUUUGUCUCCCAGCCGGGACAAAGAGAGGCACUACAGAGGAACAUCUGCCAGCCCCCCGCAUUCUCACACAAACACACGUGACUGACACACUUCAUGAUGUCAAAAACACAACCAAGAUGACCUGUUUGGGACUUCAGGAUGGACCACAGAUUACCUGUGCACAAAGACUGCAAUUAAAUCUCCUGGGAAGAAGUCUCACCUCUGAG